rnacentral:lncRNA from 1 species
GUGGGUUUUGCCUUUGUAAGCACCCGAUGAACAUUCUUUUCAGUCGUCCUUUGGGAAUCAUGGUAUAUGACUGCCUGUUAAGUACAGUAGAAAUUCAGAGCAUACCUCAAAAUUCAGAAGAUCAGGAGAGAAGGGAGUGAAGCCAUGGUGAUGCUGUCUGGGAUUUCAUCCAUUCCCUCCCUCAUUUGUCUCUACCUUGUGGUAGCUGGCCGAUAAAAGCUCAAUGAAGGGGAGUUGCAUAGCAUCUACCUGUGAUGUUCAGUAUUGGGGUAAGCAGACCUGGUCCCCGUUCUUCAACUUGGGACAGUUCUACAGGACAUCAGAGCAUAAAGCUCCCCACGGGACAGUCCCAGACACUGUUAUAUCUUCCUCCUUCCGUCUCAGUACAACUCCCAAGAGCUUUCCCCAGUGAACUUCCUGCAAGGGAACUUAGUCUCUGAACCUUCUCCCUGGGCAAUAUGAGCUAGUGUGAUGGCUGUCCUGGAUUGUCAACUGGACUACAUCCAGAAAUGGAAGGCACACUUGAAAGAGAUUCUGCUUGAUUUGAAAUGGGUAAAUCAACUUCUAGUCCGGACCUUUGAGGUAGGAAGUCACCAAUGAUCCAGAUCUCAAGCAGGGAAGGCACACACCUUUUAUUUGAAUCUUCAAGUGGGAAGACAUACCUUUAAUUUGGGCCACAUCUGCUGUGUAAGGGCUUGGAAGGAAGAUUUUUGACUGCUUGCUCUUGCCCUUGCUAGCAAGUCCAUUUCUUCACUGGCAUUAGGGCUUACUUCUUCAAGAUUCCAGUGUCUACUGAAGACCAGCUGAGACAUCCAGCCUUGUAGACUGAGCAACUUCUAGAUUGUUGGACUUUCCAUUCAUAGCCUGCCAAUAUCGGAUUGGUUGAUCCAUACCCUAGAGUUAGAGGCACUUGGCUGCAUGGCAGGUGUCCUGUCUGGUGUCCUGUCCUCCUUGAGGGAGCAGCUAUUGUCUUUGCUUCAAAAAAUCAACUCCUACUGAAGCUCUUUGUUUGUCUAAGAAGAUGGAUGACUUCUGGGAUCAUGGAAUUCAAGGGCACCAGCGCUCACCAAUUCCUACAGAUAUCAAACAAGUCACCUGCUACUCAUAUUUCAGAUACAAAUGAAAUCAGACAGAGUCUUUACCCAUUCUAACUUCCUGGUGGGAUUUUACUCCAUCCUGUUGUCCUACUCACCCCAGAGCCAAGACCUAAGCAACUAAGGACAGCCCCUAUGCCUGUGAUCCUGGGCAUACCAUUCAACUAGCUUCUUACCUGCCACUUCCUAGCCAAUUCUUCCUCAUGGAAACCACUGUGACGCUUUUGCCCACACAUCCCUGUUGCUCAUACUACCGUCUAAAUGCCGGAAGUGCUUCUCUUUAUACCCUCCCCCAUGGCAUAGUGACCUCUUAUUUCUUGCAAUUUCUGCAUAACCAGUAAUUUUAACACUGGCAAUUGUUUUCUGAUCUGGUGUCCUCACUAUGCUGAGUAACAAU